rnacentral:tRNA from 1 species
GAGAAAGAAGCAUUAUGGCUAUGUGGCUGGCUUGAAACCGGCAAUAGGCGGUUCGAUUCCCCCCUUUCUUG